AACGAACGCUGGCGGCAGGCUUAACACAUGCAAGUCGAACGCAUCGCAAGAUGAGUGGCAGACGGGUGAGUAACACGUGGGAACAUACCCUUUGGUGCGGAACAACAGCUGGAAACGGCUGCUAAUACCGCAUGCGCCCUACGGGGGAAAGAUUUAUCGCCGAAGGAUUGGCCCGCGUCUGAUUAGCUAGUUGGUGAGGUAAUGGCUCACCAAGGCGACGAUGCGUAGCUGAGCUGAGAGGCUAAACAGCCACACUGGGACUGAGACACGGCCCAGACUCCUACGGGAGGCAGCAGUAGGGAAUUUUCGGCAAUGGGGGAAACCCUGACCGAGCAAUGCCGCGUGAACGAUGAAGGUCUUCGGAUUGUAAAGUUCUGUGAUUGGGGAAGAAUGGUAUUCUUAGGGAAUGAGGAGUACAUGACGGUACCCGAUUAGAAAGCCCCGGCUAACUAUGUGCCAGCAGCCG
rnacentral:rRNA from 1 species